rnacentral:tRNA from 3 species
AAAUAAGAAACAUAAAUGUAUAUUAAUUUCGACCUAAUAAAAGAUGAUAACAUCCUUAUUUU